rnacentral:rRNA from 1 species
GGAGUCCAACGUGCGCGCGAGUCGUCGGGCUUUUAAACCCGUAGGCGGAAUCAAGGUGAAGGGAAGACUCUUCCCCAGGGAGGAGGGGCGCCGACCCGUCCGCGGGCGGCCCCCGCACUCCCGGGGCGUCUCUGGCUCAUCGCGAGCGGAGGCGCACCUAGAGCGUCCACGUUGGGACCCGAAAGAUGGUGAACUAUGCCUGGCCAGGACGAAGCCAGGGGAAACCCUGGUGGAGGUCCGUAGCGGUUCUGACGUGCAAAUCGAUCGUCGGAGCUGGGUAUAGGGGCGAAAGACUAAUCGAACCAUCUAGUAGCUGGUUCCCUCCGAAGUUUCCCUCAGGAUAGCUGCCACCCAGGUGGAGACGAGUCUCAUCUGGUAAAGCGAAUGAUUAGAGGCAUUGGGGUCGAAACGACCUCAACCUAUUCUCAAACUUUAAAUGGAUGAGAACCCCGGCUUGCUUGACCCAACAGUCUGAAGCCGGGGCUCGGAUCCGGGUGACAAGUGGGCCAAUUUUG